UGGGGAAUUUUCCGCAAUGGGCGAAAGCCUGACGGAGCAAUACCGCGUGAGGGAUGAAGGCCUAUGGGUUGUAAACCUCUUUUUUCAGGGAGGAAUAAAUGACGUGUACCUGAAGAAUAAGCAUCGGCUAACUCCGUGCCAGCAGCCGCGGUAAGACGGGGGAUGCAAGUGUUAUCCGGAAUCACUGGGCGUAAAGCGUCUGUAGGUGGUUAAGUAAGUCAACUGUUAAAUCUUGAGGCUCAACCUCAAAAUCGCAGUCGAAACUGCUUGACUAGAGUAUGGUAGGGGUAAAGGGAAUUUCCAGUGGAGCGGUGAAAUGCGUAGAUAUUGGAAAGAACACCGAUGGCGAAGGCACUUUACUGGGCUAUUACUAACACUGAGAGACGAAAGCUAGGGUAGC
rnacentral:rRNA from 1 species